UUUCUAUUUCAAUGGGGGCUUGUGAGGCUAUGAACUCAAGGGCUCUUAAUGCUAUGACCAAAGAUGUCACUCAGUAGUGCUGUAUUUUCCUUAGGAGAUAUAUGA
rnacentral:snoRNA from 1 species